rnacentral:rRNA from 1 species
UACGAAGGGUGCAAACGUUGCUCGGAAUCAUUGGGCGUAAAGCGCACGUAGGCGGCUUCGCAAGUCGGAUGUGAAAUCCCUCGGCUCAACCGAGGACGUGCAUCCGAAACUGCGAGGCUUGAGUACUGAAGAGGAUCGCGGAAUUCCCGGUGUAGAGGUGAAAUGCGCAGAUAUCAGGAGGAACACCGGCGGCGAAGGCGGCACUCUGGGCCGGUACUGACGCUGAGGAGCGAAAGCGUGGGUAGCAAACAGG